AGAAGCUGCAGCUCCUCAGGAGAGAGACUGUGUCCAUUUUUACACCAUGAAUCACCUCAGUGUCCUGUGUUUUGUUCUGCUGGGACUUUCAGCUGUUACAGCCCAGUCCAGCAUCACACUGACCCAGCCUGCCUCCGCAGAGGUGAAGAAGCCAGGAGAGUCUCUGAAACUGUCCUGCCAGGUGUCAGGAUUCCACAUAGACAGCUACUGGAAAGGAUGGAUCCGACAGACUCCUGGGAAGGGGCUGGAGUGGCUGGCACACUACCAUGAUGAAAGCAACACCAAAUACUAUGCCUCUUCAGUCCAAGGACGUUUCACUGCCUCCAUGGACACCUCCUCCAGCACCUUCUUCUUACAAAUGAACAACCUGAAAGCUGAAGACACAGCCGUGUAUUACUGUGCGAGAGACACAGUGACAAGACUGAACCGAGAGGCCGUACAAAAACCUGUCCUCAGCACUAAGCCCCUCUCCACACAACAGGAAACAUCUGAGCCACAUGUCAAAGAUGGUGCUAUUAAUACAGAGCAAGCAGAUAACCUUUGGGUUAAACAUGUCUAA